rnacentral:rRNA from 1 species
UACGUAGGGUGCGAGCGUUAAUCGGAAUUACUGGGCGUAAAGCGUGCGCAGGCGGUUUUGUAAGCCAGAUGUGAAAGCCCCGGGCUUAACCUGGGAAUGGCAUUUGGGACUGCAAGGCUUGAGUGCGGCAGAGGAGACUGGAAUUCCUGGUGUAGCAGUGAAAUGCUUAGAUAUGUCAUAGAACACCGAUCGCGAAGGCAGUCCGCCAAACCAUUACUGACACUGAAACACGAAAGUGCGGGGAUCAAACAGG